rnacentral:rRNA from 1 species
GCAGUCGAACGCAGUAGCAAUACUGAGUGGCAAACGGGUGAGUAUAAUGUGGGAAUCUGCCUUUUGGUUUGGAAUAACACGGGGAAACUUGUGCUAAUACCGAAUAAGCCCUUACGGGGAAAGUUUUAAUGCCGAAAGAUGAGCCCGCACUUGAUUAGCUAGUUGGUAAGGUAAAAGCUUACCAAGGCAACGAUCAAUAGCUGUUCUUAGAGGAAGACCAGCCACAUUGGGACUGAGACACGGCCCAGACUCCUACGGGAGGCAGCAGUGGGGAAUCUUGCACAAUGGGGGAAACCCUGAUGCAGCGAUGCCGCGUGAGUGAAGAAGGCCCUUGGGUUGUAGAACUCUUUCGUCGGGGAAGAAAAUGACUGUACCCGAAUAAGAAGGUCCGGCUAACUUCGUGCCAGCAGCCGCGGUAAUACGAAGGGACCUAGCGUAGUUCGGAAUUACUGGGCUUAAAGAGCUCGUAGGUGGUUAAAAAAGUUGAUGGUGAAAUCCCAAGGCUUAACCUUGGAACUGCCAUCAAAACUUUUUAGCUAGAGUGUGAUAGAGGUAAGUGGAAUUUCUAGUGUAGAGGUGAAAUUCGUAGAUAUUAGAAAGAACACCAAAUGCGAAGGCAACUUACUGGGUCACUACUGACACUGAGGAGCGAAAGCAUGGGUAGCGAANANGANUAGAUACCCUCGUAGUCCAUGCCGUAAACGAUGANUGCUAGACGUUGGAAAUAUAUUUUUCNGUGUCGCAGCGAAAGCAUUAANCACUCCGCCNGGGGAGUACNACCGCANGGUUAAAACUCAAAUGAA